UGCAAGUCGAACGAACCUUCGGGUUAGUGGCGGACGGGUGAGUAACGCGUGAGAAUCUGCCCUCAGGAGGGGGAUAACAGUUGGAAACGACUGCUAAUACCCCAUAUGCCGAGAGGUGAAACUAAUUUCGCCUGGGGAUGAGCUCGCGUCUGAUUAGCUUGUUGGUGGGGUAAUGGCCUACCAAGGCUUUGAUCAGUAGCUGGUCUGAGAGGACGAUCAGCCACACUGGGACUGAGACACGGCCCAGACUCCUACGGGAGGCAGCAGGGGGGAAUUUUCCGCAGUGGGCGAAAGCCUGACGGAGCAACGCCGCGUGAGGGAUGAAGGCCUUUGGGCUGUAAACCUCUUUUCUCAAGGAAAAAGAUCUGACGGUACUUGAGGAAUAAGCCACGGCUAAUUCCGUGCCAGCAGCCGCGGUAAUACGGGAGUGGCAAGCGUUAUCCGGAAUUAUUGGGCGUAAAGCGUCCGCAGGCGGCCGUUUAAGUCUGUUGUUAAAUUGUGGAGCUCAACUCCAUCACGGCAAUGGAAACUGUUCGGCUUGAGUAUGGUAGGGGCAGAGGGAAUUUCCGGUGUAGCGGUGAUAUGCGUAGAUAUCGGGAAGAACACCUGUGGCGAAAGCGCUCUGCUGGGCCAUUACUGACGCUCAUGGACGAAAGCCAGGGGAGCGAAAUGGAUUAGAUACCCAUGUAGUCCUGGCCGUAAACGAUGAACACCAGAUGUUGGGGGAAUCGACCCCCUCAGUGUCGUAGCUAACGCGUUAAGUGUUCCGCCUGGGGAGUACGCACGCAAGUGUGAAACUCAAAGGAAUUGACGGGG
rnacentral:rRNA from 1 species